GGGACGACAUGGGCCUAAAGGCGUACAUGGCGACGCUGGUGCUCGUGGGCGUCCUGGUGACAAAGGAUUCCCUGGUUUACCUGGUCCAACUGGAAGGAAGGUGUGUACUGAAGGUGUGAUCGUAAUUUAUACAGCUCUGCUUAUCUUUGCCCUGUACAUGAUCCAGGUAGGUACAGUAUAGAUACAAAUCUUAUUAGAGUCACACUGACCUGCAGUACCCUGAUGUGCAGUAUUCAAACAGCAAAGUACAGUAGGGUCAUGCUGAAGCAUUGACAAUAUGGGAUUUAAAAUAUGAUUUAGACCUCAAGUACAUUAAGCUUAUUAGAGUUAAAUGUGCUUUCUUAAGCGCUGCUCCUAUCAACAGGGUAUGAAAGGAAUUCAGGGAAUAUCAGGACUGAAAGGUGUGAAAGGUCGGAGAGGACCUCCUGGAAAACCAGGUAUUCCUGUUCAGCAGAUACCAGGACAUCGUACUUCACCUCAUGCUCAGAGAAGAGGAUCACAAAAUAAAGCAAGGUCAUUAUCCAGAAAGUCUCGAUUUGACAAGCCUGAAGAUGAGUUUGAGGAAAAUAGCUUCUC